rnacentral:rRNA from 1 species
UACGGAGGGCGCAAGCGUUGUUCGGAAUCACUGGGCGUAAAGCGCGUGCAGGCGGCUUGGUAAGUCGGGUGUGAAAUCCCGGAGCUCAACUCCGGAACUGCACCCGAUACUGCCUCGCUAGAGUCCCGGAGAGGAUGGCGGAAUUUCCGGUGUAGAGGUGAAAUUCGUAGAUAUCGGGAAGAACAUCGGUGGCGAAGGCGGCCAACUGGACAGAUACUGACGCUGAGGCACGAAAGCGUGGGGAGCAAACAGG